rnacentral:rRNA from 1 species
GAUGAACGCUGGCGGCGUGCCUAAUACAUGCAAGUCGAGCGAACAGACGAGGAGCUUGCUCCUCUGACGUUAGCGGCGGACGGGUGAGUAACACGUGGAUAACCUACCUAUAAGACUGGGAUAACUUCGGGAAACCGGAUCUAAUACCGGAUAAUAUAUUGAACCGCAUGGUUCAAUAGUUAAAGACGGUUUUUCUUUCACUUAUAGAUUGAUCCGCGCCGCAUUAGUUAGUUGGUAAGGUAACGGCUUACCAAGGCAACGAUGCGUACCCGACCUGAGAGGGUGAUCGGCCAGACUGGAACUGAGACACGGUCCAGACUCCUACGGGAGGCAGCAGUAGGGAAUCUUCCGCAAAGGGCGAGAGCCGGACGGAGCAACGCCGCGUGAGUGAUGAAGGUCUUCGGAUCGUAAAACUCUGUUAUUAGGGAAGAACAAAUGUGUAAGUAACUAUGCACGUCUUGACGGUACCUGAUCAGAAAGCCACGGCUAACUACGUG